rnacentral:lncRNA from 1 species
AUAUAGUAAGUCUUCUGUAUUUUCGAAAGUACGGAGACCUCCGUACUUGUAAGUUGUUUUCGAUGAUAGGAAAUCCAAUUCGACGAUCGGCUCCGUUAAGUAUAAUCUACCCUAUUAGAACUAUUUAGAAACCAAAUUUUAUAAUUUUUGACAUCAUUUACCAAGCAAUUAAAAGGUUUCAAAAAUGACUAUUUUAACAGUCGAUGUGGCACGUUUUUAAGUUCAACGGUGUAGAAGUAUCCAAAUUAGAUAAAAAUUUAAUAGAAAAUUCUACUUAACAUCAAUAGCAAGACCAAUACUUCCGAUUUGAAAUUUGAAUUCUUUAUUACUAUUUUUUAUGAGAUUUUCAUUUUCAGCCGUUCAUUUUUAGACUACUCGUUUGAUUGGUAAAUGACGCCGAAAAAUUAUGAAAUUUAGUUUCN